rnacentral:rRNA from 1 species
UUUGCCUACGGGGCGCAGCAGUUAGGAAUAUUGGGCAAUGGAGGAAACUCUGACCCAGCAACGCCGCGUGAAGGAAGAAGGUUUUCGGAUUGUAAACUUCUGAUCUGUGGGACGAAGAAAGUGACGGUACCACAGGAGAAAGCCACGGCUAACUACGUGCCAGCAGCCGCGGUAAUACGUAGGUGGCGAGCGUUGUCCGGAAUAACUGGGCGUAAAGGGAGCGUAGGUGGUUGAUUAAGUUAAAUGUGAAAGCCCAGGGCUCAACUCUGGAACUGCAUUUAAUACUGGUCGGCUAGAGUACAGGG